rnacentral:rRNA from 1 species
AGGGCACCACCAGGAGUGGAGCCUGCGGCUUAWUUUGACUCAACACGGGGAAACUCACCCGGCCCGGACACCGGAAGGAUUGACAGAUUGAUAGCUCUUUCUUGAUUCGGUGGAUGGUGGUGCAUGGCCGUUCUUAGUUGGUGGAGCGAUCUGUCUGGUUAAUUCCGAUAACGAACGAGACUCUAGCCUAUUAAAUAGACGUCGGGUUCUCUGCACUCGACGGUCUUCUUAGAGGGACAAGGUGCUUUUAGCACCGCGAAACAGAGCAAUAACAGGUCUGUGAUGCCCUUAGAUGUCCGGGGCCGCACGCGCGCUACACUGAAGUGAUCAGCGUGCAUUUUCAGCCUACUCUGCCAAGAGUGGGAAACCCAAUGAACCUUCUUCGUGAUUGGGAUAGGAGAUUGUAAUUAUUCUCCUUGAACGAGGAAUUCCCAGUAAGCGCGAGUCAUAAGCUCGCGUUGAUUACGUCCCUGCCCUUUGUACACACCGCCCGUCGCUACUACCGAUUGAAUGUUUUAG